rnacentral:rRNA from 1 species
UACAGAGAAGCCAAGCGUUGUCCGGAUUGACUGGGCGUAAAGCGCACGCAGGCGGCUGCGCGCGUGGGGUGUGAAAUCUGGCCGCUUAACGGCCAGGCGCCAUCCCAUACGGCGCGGCUUGAGCCUUGUAGAGGGCGGUGGAGUUGCCGGUGUAGUGGUGAAAUGCGUAGAGAUCGGCAGGAACACCCAGGGGGAAACCAGCCGCCUGGACAAGCGCUGACGCUGAGGUGCGAGAGCGUGGGGAGCGAACCGG